rnacentral:lncRNA from 1 species
CUGUGGAACAGAUUGAAGAUUUUACCAUCCAAAACCCACAAAGAGAAAACUCCUACUGUGGUCUUCAGAAUUUCCAUUCAGCUGAUUUGCCUGCCAAGUCCAGUGACCAGUACCGCCGCUCCUGAUGGUGGGGAGCAUAUGGUACUGCUGUGAAUAGUUUUGCUCUCACUGCUGUGAAAUCCCACGCCUUCCUACAGAAUGUGUUUGGAGGAGCAAAUGGUGUUCAGCCUCAGAAGAAUCUGUGCUCUGUGCCUAACAGUGGAGAAAAAG